ACGUUUUCACCCUCGGGUGACAGGGAGACAGGUGGUGCAUGGUUGUCGUCAGCUCGUGUCGUGAGAUGUUGGGUUAAGUCCCGCAACGAGCGCAACCCCUACGUUUAGUUGCUAACGCGUGAAGGCGAGCACUCUAGACGAACUGCCGUUGACAAAACGGAGGAAGGUGGGGAUGACGUCAAAUCAUCAUGCCCCUUAUGUUCUGGGCUACACACGUGCUACAAUGGCCGGUACAGACGGACGCAAAGCCGCGAGGUGGAGCAAAUCCUAAAAAGCCGGUCUCAGUUCGGAUUGCAGGCUGCAAUUCGCCUGCAUGAGGUCGGAAUCGCUAGUAAUCGCAGGUCAGCAUACUGCGGUGAAUACGUUCCCGGGCCUU
rnacentral:rRNA from 1 species